UACCUGCAGCCCGAGGGGUGGCCGUUAUUAUUGGGCCUAAAACGUCCGUAGCCGGCUGAGUAGAUGCCUGUGUAAAUCGAACGGCUUAACCGUUCGAACUGCGGGUAGACCGCUCAGCUUGGGACCGGGAGAGUCACGAAGUACUCCGGGGGUAGAGGUGAAAUUCUGUAAUCCUCGGGGGACUACCGGUGGCGAAGGCGUCAUGAUAGAACGGCUCCGACGGUGAGGGACGAAGCCCUGGGGCGCAAACCGG
rnacentral:rRNA from 1 species